GGGAUUGCCCCAGUAGCGGCGAGUGAAGCGGCAAGAGCUCAGAUUUGAAAUCGCAGCAAUGCGAGUUGUAGAUUGCAGGUUGGUGCCUUUGUGGCGCUGCGUGUCGAAGUCCCUUGGAACAGGGCGCCAUUGAGGGUGAGAGCCCCGUGCGACGCGUGGCUAAGCAGCAAGGCCCUUCUGACGAGUCGAGUUGUUUGGGAAUGCAGCUCUAAGCGGGUGGUAAAUUCCAUCUAAGGCUAAAUACUGGCGAGAGACCGAUAGCGAACAAGUACUGUGAAGGAAAGAUGAAAAGCACUUUGAAAAGAGAGUGAAACAGCACGUGAAAUUGUUGAAAGGGAAGGGUAUUGGGCUCGACAUGGGACUUGCGCACCGCUGCUCCUUGUGGGCGGCGCUCUGCGCUUUUCCUGGGCCAGCAUCGGUUCUUGCUGCAGGAGAAGGGGUUGGGGAAUGUGGCUCUCCCUCGGGAGAGUGUUAUAGCCCUGGCCAGAUGCUGCGUGCGGGGACCGAGGACUGCGGCUUCUGUCUCGGAUGCUGGCACAACGGCGCAAUACCGCCCGUCUUGAAC
rnacentral:rRNA from 2 species